AGGUGAACCUGCGGAAGGAUCAUUAUCGAAUUAUAAGGCUCUGGCUGUGCUGGCCCCUCGGGGCAUGUGCACGUCUCUGCCCGUUAAUCCCAACCAACCCCUGUGAACCAACCGUGGGGCGCU
rnacentral:rRNA from 1 species